rnacentral:rRNA from 1 species
UACAGAGGUCCCAAGCGUUGUUCGGAUUCAUUGGGCGUAAAGGGUGCGUAGGCGGCGCGGUAAGUCGGGUGUGAAAUCUCGGGGCUUAACUCCGAAACUGCAUUCGAUACUGCCGUGCUUGAGGACUGGAAAGGAGACUGGAAUUUACGGUGUAGCGGUGAAAUGCGUAGAUAUCGUAAGGAAGACCAGUGGCGAAGGCGGGUCUCUGGACAGUUCCUGACGCUGAGGCGCGAAGGUCAGGGGAGCAAACGGG